rnacentral:sRNA from 1 species
AUAGGAGGAAACAAAUGAACGAAGUUAAUUUAUAGUAAUGUUUCCGACGAAAUGCCGCUGACCAAUGGGAGGGGGCAAUACAUAA